rnacentral:rRNA from 1 species
GCGAGAGAUAUGCUUGUAAGGACUCGGCAAGUUGUCUUCAUAAGUUAGACGAGAUGAAGAACCAUUGAUAAGUAANUUUAUUACUUAAAGGUGGUGUCACAAAAUCGGAGGCCCCGACUGUUUACUUAAAACACAGCUUUCUGCUACGAAUAAUAUCUUUGUAUAGAAAGCGAAUUUUGCCCAAUGCCAUUAAUAUAAAGUUGAUAAGAUUUAUUUAAAAAUAAAUUAAUGUUGACUGAAGUUCUGGUCAAUGGCGGUCUUAUCUAUGAGGAUCCUAAGGUAGCAAAAUUCAUUGUCCAUUAAAUGUGGUCCUGAUUGAAUAAAGUAACGAUGGUCUCACUGUCUCUACAAGCAUCUCAGUGAAAUUGAAUUAGCCGUGCAGAUGCGGUUUAACUUCGGGUAGACGGGAAGACCCUAUCAGGCUUCUACUGA